UUGACCUCGGAUCCAGGUAGGGAUACCCGCUGAACUUAA
rnacentral:rRNA from 1 species